rnacentral:rRNA from 1 species
CCCUUAGAUGUUCUGGGCCGCACACGCGCUACACUGAAGGAGGCAGCGUGUACUCCUGGAUCGAAAGAUUUGGGUAACCCGCGAAUCUCCUUCGUGCUAGGGAUUGAGGUUUGCAAUUAUCCUUCAUGAACGAGGAAUUCCCAGUAAGUGCAAGUCAUAAGCUUGCGCUGACUACGUCCCUGCCCUUUGUACACACCGCCCGUCGCUACUACCGAUUGAAUGAUUUAGUGAGGACUUCGGACUGGCACCGAUGCGGCUUUCGGGCUGCGUCGGUAUUCUGGAAAGAUGUCCAAACUGUAUCAUUUAGAGGAAGUAAAAGUCGUAACA